rnacentral:rRNA from 1 species
AGAGUUUGAUCCUGGCUCAGAGCGAACGUUAGCGGCGGGCCUAACACAUGCAAGUCGAACGGGCAGUAGCAAUACUGUCAGUGGCGCACGGGUGAGUAACGCGUAGGUAAUCUACCCUUUGGCGGGGGAUAACGUUCCGAAAGGGACGCUAAUACCGCAUAAGACCACGGUCCCUUCGGGGGUUGGGGGACAAGGUGGCCUCUUCUUGAAAGCCAUCACCGGAGGAUGAGCCUGCGUCCCAUCAGCUAGUUGGUAGGGUAAUGGCCUACCAAGGCGAAGACGGGUAGCUGGUCUGAGAGGAUGAUCAGCCACACUGGCACUGGAACACGGGCCAGACUCCUACGGGAGGCAGCAGUGGGGAAUAUUGGGCAAUGGGCGCAAGCCUGACCCAGCCACGCCGCGUGAGCGAUGAAGGCCUUCGGGUUGUAAAGCUCUGUGGGGAGGGGCGAAAGGCAGAAGUGCUAAUAGUACUCUGUUUGACGGUACCUCCUUAGCAAGCACCGGCUAACUCUGUGCCAGCAGCCGCGGUAAGACAGAGGGUGCAAACGUUGCUCGGAUUUACUGGGCGUAAAGCGCGUGUAGGCGGGAAGAAAAGUCGGGUGUGAAAUCCCUGGGCUCAACCUAGGAACUGCAUCCGAAACUUUCUUUCUGGAGUGAUGGAGAGGAGAGCGGAAUUCCCGGUGUAGAGGUGAAAUUCGUAGAUAUCGGGAGGAACACCAGUGGCGAAGGCGGCUCUCUGGCCAUCAACUGACGCUGAGACGCGAAAGCGUGGGGAGCAAACAGGAUUAGAUACCCUGGUAGUCCACGCUGUAAACGAUGAGUGCUAGGUGUUGUGGGUAUUGACCCCCGCGGUGCCGUAGCUAACGCGUUAAGCACUCCGCCUGGGGAGUACGGCCGCAAGGCUAAAACUCAAAGGAAUUGACGG